rnacentral:lncRNA from 1 species
CUCCUGCCUCAGCCUCCGGAGUAGCUGGGACUACAGGUGCCCGCCACCACGCCCAGCUAAUUUUUUGUACUUUUAGUAGAGACGGGGUUUCACUGUGUUAGCCAGGAUGGUCUCGAUCUCCUGACCUCGUGAUCCGCCUGCCUUGGCCUCCCAAAGUGCUGGGAUUACAGGCAUGAGCCACCGCACCCGGCCACCUUCCCCGUCUUUAAUCCUUCAGUGCUUUCAGUAGAAAUCACACAGAUAAGUAACAUCUGUGCAUCACACACACACACACACACACACACACACACACACAGCCUCUGAGGGCCCUCUCCCUUUUCCUACCACAAGGAAUGGAGGAGCCUUCACUACUGCAAGCUGGAAUAUAUCAUGCAGUGAAGAUGGGAGGCCAAGCAAAUUUUUCUGGAAAGUGAAGUGGCAAGUUCCUGGUAUGUGGAAGUGCUGUCCGUCAAGUUGAGCAACCCCCUGACCCCUCAGAAUGGAGCACCUCACCCCCAUGUUACAGAAGAGGAUAUUCUAUAUCAUGGUAGAACUCAGUGGGCUCUGGGUUGCAACAUAGACUUGGAAGCUUCCAGCAGCUUCAAAGUCCAAGUAAUCUAAAUUCAGCCUUCAUCUAAUAAAGGCCACCUUUGUGGGCCAGCAUCUCCUGUUAGCUGAUCAGCAACUCAGACUUUCUUCCCUAUUAAGCUGCAUGUGAAGCAGUAUUUCAAGAGGUUUCUUGGGAUUGCUUGUGUCCCAUGUCCUCAGAAGUUCAUCUGCAGCUUCACGCAGCUGACACCCUCAGAUUCCAGAGUAAACCUGAAAAAACCACGUUCACUGCUACAGAUGUCUGUCUUCACCCCAUCCAUGUAAUGUGCCAGGUCUUAACUACCACCCCCUUACCUUGAAUCCCUGAGAAGCACGUUUCUAAGCUGAGUUGGUUGGUGGUUUUGUCUAUCUGUAAUGAACGCAUGAGAACUACCACUACUUGGUAUGUGCCUACCGUUGAGCCAGGACCAAGGCGUGCAGCCACUUGAGUCUCAUUCACCUCAGCCGCGGCUCCAGGAACUAGCGUCAGCGGCAUUAAGUGCAGGCUGAAGGCCCCCAUCUGAGAAGACAGUGCACUCUCCCUGAGUUCGCCUCUCAUCAGGCUUGGGUUUUCAUGAAAUCAGUCCUCCGAGAUGCCUGUUCACUCAUCCCUGUCUGGAAAGGCAAAAAGUACGUCACUGGCCUAUUAGAUACGCCCAGGCUGACUUGAAUAUAUUGAUGGUACUAGUACUUGGCCAGGCAGUGGCUUUACUGUAUUACACUGUAGGAUGACGAGCUCACUGCACGGCCUUCUCGACUAGGGGAGGGGACACUGCCUGAGUCCCAGGCAUACUUUUCUCACGUGGAUGAUACUGCUCUCUACCUGGGCAUUCUCACCUGCCCCAGCUCAACCCCUAAAAGUACAUUUCUGAGGACCCUGCAGUAAGACUUUUUCAGCCACAGUCUUCUCUACCAGCUGAUCUGUGUGGUGUUAGACAUUUCAGUACUUACUGAGAGGGAGUUUUCUGUGCCCCACCUUCAGCUGGGUUAAUCCCCAAAGAACCAGUGUUUCCUAGAAAGAGCAGUUCAUUCCAUACCUUGCUCUUGUAGUCCUAAUGGCCAUGUCGACAUACCCAGCUGUGACAAGAUGAAGGACCACGAUUUGGGACUCUUCAGGGACAGACUUGGCCACCUGGUGAUGUGCCACCUUCAGCAGCUCUGUCUUCACACGUCCAGCCUGCGCCUGCUUCAUGUAGUACACAAGACUGCUCUGGUACACCACGACCAUGACCUUCACAUGAGGCCAGUCUCCCCGCCCCUCACCUGGGCCAUAGAAAAAGGAUGCUGCUGUGAAGAUGUAAUGGGUGGAGCCUCAGCAGCCAUCUUGUGACUAUGAGACCAUAAGCAGGAAGACCCAAGGCAACCACAGGGAAUGGUGGAACAAAGGAAUGGACAGAGCCCAGGGCUUUGAGAGCGCAUUCACUCACUGCCCCAUGCCUAAAGUCACCAACUCUCAGACCUCCUGUCUUGUGAUGAGAUGCCUUUAUCGCUAAAACUACUCUCAGUCCAGGCUGCCACCUGCACCCAGAUGCAACGUAGCUGAAAUAAAAGGCGUGAUGGUAUAUAUCCCCCUAAGGCUAAGAGGCCCUAGCAGCCAGGGCUCAGCCUUUCCAGGGUCUGUGUUUCAUAAAAUAGCCCUGAAGGAUGUCA